UACGUAGGGGGCAAGCGUUGUCCGGAUUCAUUGGGCGUAAAGAGCGUGUAGGCGGCCAGGUAGGUCGGUUGUGAAAACUGGAGGCUCAACCUUCAGAGGUCGACCGAAACCAUCUGCUAGAGUCCGGGAGAGGAGAGUGGAAUUCCUGGUGUAGCGGUGAAAUGCGCAGAUAUCAGGAAGACCACCCGUGGCGAAAGCGGCUCUCUGGAACGGUACUGACGCUGAGACGCGAAAGCGUGGGGAGCGAACAGG
rnacentral:rRNA from 1 species